UACGAAGGGUGCAAACGUUGCUCGGAAUUAUUGGGCGUAAAGCGCACGUAGGCGGCAUUGCAAGUCGGAUGUGAAAUCCCUCGGCUUAACCAAGGAAGUGCAUCCGAAACUGCAGUGCUUGAGUACUUAAGAGGAUCGCGGAAUUCCCGGUGUAGAGGUGAAAUUCGUAGAUAUCGGGAGGAACACCAGUGGCGAAGGCGGCGAUCUGGGAAGAUACUGACGCUGAGGUGCGAAAGCGUGGGGAGCAACAGGAUAGAUACCG
rnacentral:rRNA from 1 species